rnacentral:sRNA from 1 species
UUGAGGGCCCUGGAGACUGAAGUCCACUAAGUAUACACAAAAUAGGCACAAUGGAAGCACAAGAUUCCCCACUCCACUUGGGUAAUGGGACUCUCAUCUUUCAUUGAAGGGACCAUCGCUAGAGGUGUGAGGGGAAUUCAGUCACCAGGUCCAUUCAGUACUUGGCCUCU